UCAGUGUGCCUUAAAAAUGUGAAGAAAUAAUCUUCAAAGUUUUGUCUUGUAUUUCCUGGGGUGCAAGCUCCCAGGUGGCGCUGUCGAUAUCUUGCUGCUUUUAAAGACUUAUUAACACAAAAAUCAUGUGUCAUAAAAACAGGAGGAACAAGCCAGCAGCAACAUGACUAAACUCCUUUUAACUGCAACAUGAACUGGGGGAAGCGGAGGAGAGGGCUGACAUUUCUGAGUCACAGGUCAACAAGAUGAAAGCCAUGAGCAGCCUGACAGAAGGUCAGUGAUGCAAUAAUGUCGGUAUUUUUGUUUCACUUGGAACAGAUCAACUCACUCUGUAGUGCAGCAUACAGUGGAUAUAGUGAAGUCUUUCAUUGAGCUGUUUUGAGCUAGCGUUACAUGGUAUGUGUGUGUAUGUGUAUGUGUAUGUGUGUGUGUGUGGCUCUGCUUCCCUCCUCCUUUCCUUCUCUGAGAAUGUACCCGCUGAUUACAGUACCCCGCUAUUACUUCCUUUGAUUCCAGAAGUUAUUGAUACAUCUCAAAACUGCUCUAAGGACACAGGAUUUAUUUUGAACUCAUGCUCAUCUGAUACGUUUAAAUUUUGACAUGAAUUAGUUUGGCUUUGCUGUUGCCAUGGGUUAUUUAGUAUUAUAAGUUUGCUGAGGUUUUUUACUUGAUUUGAAUGAUUCAUUUAAAGACACAGAGCAGUUGAAAGGAGAUGAAAGAAUGUGCCUUUAGCUAUUUAUUUAACAUUAAUAUGAGGGACACAUGCUUACCAGUAUUUAAGAGUGAAGACCCUGUUCUUAAGGUGGCCUCUCUACACUAAGACUCUGCACUCCACCACAUCUGGAGUAAGCCAAGUCCAGUGCAGGGAGGAGGACUGGCCCUCCGUCUUGGAAAGUGGACUUGGUUUUUCUGUGCUUUUUAAGAGACUCUAGGCUUUUCUAUGGCAGGUCAUGCACAGAUGGCAGAGGCUGCUAUAAAGUCUUUAUCAGUAUUAACUUAUCCAUUCAUACACAUUCACACUCUAAGCAAUUUUUGGAAAAGGGACUUACCCAAGGACACAUCGGCAUGUGUCUGCAGGAGCUGGGGAUCCAACUCCAGACUGGUUGAGGAAACACCGACUCCACCACGGUGACACAGCCACCAUGUUUAAUUUCAAACUCAAUUGAAAUCAUUAACUCAAGUAACUCCAUAUUAGGAUUUUUGUAAAUCAGAAUAAUGCACUUACCAGUCCCAUAGCCUACUUUUGCCUUUAAAACAAAGUUUAAGGGCCGUCUAAUUAAAGUUAUUGUAUCAGAAUUAUGAGUCCAAACACAGAUUUCAGGAUCUUUGUAUCGAAACAAUUUUAUUUUGAAAAUUCAUGUAAAAUGUUUUUAUAAACUAACAAUCUUUCAAAAAUAAAGGGAUUGAACAAGUUUGA